AUUGUGAAGUCGGGGGAAGGCUGGCAGAGGGGCCCAGUCUAGUCUGUGACCUGAGCCAUCAUGGUAGGGUGUCCAGGGUGAGGGGAGGGUGGUGUGAAUCCCCAGUAAUGCAGGUCCUUUCCAGGCCAGGCCCCUGGUCCCCAGGAGUGCGGGGAUGCCUGAGGUCUACUGCUGCCUUAUCCAGAGCUGCCAUCCCCGGCGAUGACUCAGAGUUCCUGUGGCCCCAGCAUCAUCCCUCCAUCCCUGGCUGUGAGGCAGGAGCAGAGUUGCAGACCUGAGAGGCCUUGAAUUUGUUUGAUAUAGGACUUUGCCACCAGACAAAGUGCUUUGCCUGUGAGGUCUGGCUUGGCCUGGCCUCUGAGAAAGAACAAACACAGACCUCACUGGAAGGAACCUGGAGAACGGGAGAGGAGAGGCUGCUGCUGUCUGCCCUCCCAGCAGCAGAUAUAAAGACAAUGGGCUUCUAAGUCCCCUAGAGUCCCAGCUGUGUAAUUUAAGGCAAAUAUAAUUUCUGACCUACGUAAUGAUGUAUGCACAAGAAGCCUCUCUUGAAUGUAUUAAUUCAGUAAACAGUUAUGGAGUCCUUACAAUGUGCUAGUGGGACUUUGAAGAUGAAUCCAAAUUUGGAUCCUGGCCUGGAAAGGCUCAAAGCCCAAUAUGGGAGAUUCUAGCAAGACCUUGUUUAUGUUGGAAACUGUUAGCAGACGCCGAAGCUGUCCGGGGCUGAGUGAGUACCACGUUACUCAGGCUUCACUGCGCUGAAGGAAGAGGUUGAGAUGAGGGCAGUCACUCACCUGUGAUGAAGACCCACUCUGCAGCUUCAUUUCCUGUCAUUACAGACAGUGCCUGGGCCCAAUCAGGAGGGGCUUAUGGGGAAUGGGGGGCAGGUGGCACUGGGGUGUCUAGGGAGAGCAAAUACAAAUUGGAUACCACCUAGAGGUCGCGAAAUGGAGAAUAAGUUUCUAAGAACAGCUAAAAAAUGAAAGAGACAUGACAACCAAAUGCAACAUGUGACCCUUGAUAGGCCCUUAGACUUUUUUUAAAAAAAAGCUAUAAAGAACAUUAUUGGGACCACUGUGUCAAUUUGAAUAUGAUUGCAUGUUAUAUGAUAUUAUUGCAUUAAUAUUAAACUUCUUAAGUAUGAAA
ensembl:lncRNA LINC01227 long intergenic non-protein coding RNA 1227